rnacentral:rRNA from 1 species
AUUGAACGCUGGCGGCAUGCCUUACACAUGCAAGUCGAACGGCAGCACGGGGCAACCUGGUGGCGAGUGGCGAACGGGUGAGUAAUGCAUCGGAACGUACCUUUCAGUGGGGGAUAACGUAGCGAAAGUUACGCUAAUACCGCAUAUUCUGUGAGCAGGAAAGCAGGGGAUCGCAAGACCUUGCGCUGAUUGAGCGGCCGAUGUCAGAUUAGCUAGUUGGUGCGGUAAAGGCCCACCAAGGCGACGAUCUGUAGCGGGUCUGAGAGGAUGAUCCGCCACACUGGAACUGAGACACGGUCCAGACUCCUACGGGAGGCAGCAGUGGGGAAUUUUGGACAAUGGGGGCAACCCUGAUCCAGCCAUGCCGCGUGAGUGAAGAAGGCCUUCGGGUUGUAAAGCUCUUUCGGCCGGGAAGAGAUCGCACGGGCUAAUACCCUGUGUGGAUGACGGUACCGGAAUAAGAAGCACCGGCUAACUACGUGCCAGCCGCCGCCGUAAUAC